rnacentral:rRNA from 1 species
GACGAACGCUGGCGGCGUGCUUAACACAUGCAAGUCGAACGGAAAGGCCCUGCUUUUGUGGGGUGCUCGAGUGGCGAACGGGUGAGUAACACGCGAGUAACCUGCCCUUGACUUUGGGAUAACUUCAGGAAACUGGGGCUAAUACCGGAUAGGAGCUCCUGCUGCAUGGUGGGGGUUGGAAAGUUUCGGCGGUUGGGGAUGGACUCGCGGCUUAUCAGCUUGUUGGUGGGGUAGUGGCUUACCAAGGCUUUGACGGGUAGCCGGCCUGAGAGGGUGACCGGCCACAUUGGGACUGAGAUACGGCCCAGACUCCUACGGGAGGCAGCAGUGGGGAAUAUUGCACAAUGGGCGGAAGCCUGAUGCAGCAACGCCGCGUGCGGGAUGACGGCCUUCGGGUUGUAAACCGCUUUCGCCUGUGACGAAGCGUGAGUGACGGUAAUGGGUAAAGAAGCACCGGCCAACUACGUG